UCUUGAGGCCCAGCCCAGUGCCACAACCACAAGACGGUCCUUCCUGUCUCUAGUGACUGCUGGAGCUUCAGUGAUUGGUUAUCGUUGCAGUCACUCUGGGGCUGAAUUUGUACUGAAACCUCAAGAGAACACCUAGGAGUCUCCUCUUCUCUGUUCCUUUUGUCUUCAUCUCGCUCCACCCCGUAUUAUCUCCUCCUCACUCUGCUCUUAUGUGUGACAUCUUUUUUCACAGGGACUGAUGAAAAUCAAGAAGGAAAAACCCACCAAUUCAUCAGUCACAUAAAAUGCAGAGAGUCUCUGAGGCUGGAGUGUAACAAAGACUACUUGAUCUGUGGACUCAGCACCGACUUGUGGUCCAGGGAAGCUGAGCUAUCCUACAUCAUUGGCAAGGACACCUGGAUCGAGAAGUGGCCCAACAAGGACGAAUGCCGGAAGCCGGAUUUCCAGAACCUCUGCCAGAAGUUCCUUGAGUUCUCUGAAGCCUUGGCCAUGUUUGGCUGCCCAACCUAAACUUGGACCCAGCUUUCCCAGCAGCCCCAAGGGGACAGUUUGAGCUGAGAUGGAGCAUAACCCUCAGGUGGAGACAGCUCCACUCAGAGUCCCAAUGCUGCUGACACUCGCCGCUAGCCCUGUCCUCUUUGGGAGUUUCGCUCUUUUCUUCUUAUUGUUUCUCUCUAUAUAAAUGGCUGAAUUCUUA